CGCGAAUGAUGAAGCUAUUUUAUUGCUGUAAACUCCUGAAUACCUGUGAGGAGAUACCUUGGAGAGCUGAGCGCUCG